GAUGAACGCUGACAGAAUGCUUAACACAUGCAAGUCUUUGGCGAAGCUGUGCUUGCACAGCCUAGCCAAGGCGGACGGGUGAGUAACGCGUAAGGAACUUGCCCUGCAGUCAGGGAUAACAGACGGAAACGACUGAUAAGACCUGGUAAAGUCAGGCGGACUCAUGUCCAGCCUGAUGAAAAGAGAUGCUGCAGGAGAGCCUUGCGUCCUAUUAGCUUGUUGGUGGGGUAACGGCCCACCAAGGCGAUGAGAGGUAGCCGGCCUGAGAGGGUGGACGGCCACAAGGGGACUGAGAUACGGCCCUUACUCCUACGGGAGGCAGCAGUGGGGAAUAUUGGACAAUGGGGGCAACCCUGAUCCAGCAAUUCUGUGUGCACGAUGAAGGUUUUCGGAUUGUAAAGUGCUUUCAGCAGGGAAGAAAAAAAUGACGGUACCUGCAGAAGAAGCGACGGCUAAAUACGUG
rnacentral:rRNA from 1 species